UGGGGGAUAUUGCACAAUGGGCGAAAGCCUGAUGCAGCGACGCCGUGUGGGGGAUGAAGGCCUUCGGGUUGUAAACUUCUUUUGCUCUGAACAAGGCGCACCAUGGGGUGUGUUGAGUGUAGGGGUUGAUUAGCGCCGGCUAACUACGUGCCAGCAGCCGCGGUAAUACGUAGGGCGCGAGCGUUGUCCGGAAUUAUUGGGCGUAAAGGGCUUGUAGGUGGCUGGUUGCGUCUGUCGUGAAAGCUCAUGGCUUAACUGUGGGUUUGCGGUGGGUACGGGCUGGCUUGAGUGCAGUAGGGGAGGCUGGAAUUCCUGGUGUAGCGGUGGAAUGCGCAGAUAUCAGGAGGAAUACCGGUGGCGAAGGCGGGUCUCUGGGCUGUUACUGACACUGAGGAGCGAAAGCAUGGGGAGCGAACAGG
rnacentral:rRNA from 1 species